UACAGAGGGGGGCAAGCGUUAUUCGGAAUUAUUGGGCGUAAAGGGCGCGUAGGCGGCUUUUCAAGUGACGGGUGAAAUCCCUCGGCUUAACCGAGGAACUGCCUGUCAGACUGGAAGGCUUGAGACCGGGAGAGGUGAGUGGAAUUCCCAGUGUAGCGGUGAAAUGCGUAGAUAUUGGGAGGAACACCAGUGGCGAAGGCGGCUCACUGGACCGGUACUGACGCUGAGGUGCGAAAGCUAGGGGAGCAAACGGGG
rnacentral:rRNA from 1 species